UAGGAAAUUCAAGCACAGCUUGGUGUUGGGCGCCUCGUCCCCCGUCCGGGAGGACCCGCCUCAAAUGCAUUGGCAGCCGGUCCGUUGGCUUCGAGCGCAGCAGAAUAGCGCCCGGCGUCCGACGGCACCUAGCUCUCCAGGAAGCCACCCCCCCAUUU
rnacentral:misc_RNA from 1 species